GACGUAGGGCGCAAGCGUUGUCCGGAUUUAUUGGGCGUAAAGAGCUCGUAGGCGGCCUGUCGCGUUCGACCGUGAAAACCCGCAGCUCAACUGCGGGCUUGCGGUCGAUGACGGGCAGGCUGGAGUUCGGUAGGGGAGACUGGAAUUCCUGGUGUAGCGGUGAAAUGCGCAGAUAUCAGGAAGAACACCCGUGGCGAAGGCGGCCCUCUGGGACGGUACUGACGCUGAGACGCGAAAGCGUGGGGAGCGAACAGG
rnacentral:rRNA from 1 species